GGACCCGCACAAGUAGUGGAGCAUGUGGUUUAAUUCGAAGAUACGCGCAGAACCUUACCAACACUUGACAUGUUCGUCGCGACUCUAAGAGAUUAGAGUUUUCGGUUCGGCCGGACGAAACACAGGUGCUGCAUGGCUGUCGUCAGCUCGUGUCGUGAGAUGUUGGGUUAAGUCCCGCAACGAGCGCAACCCUCACUUUUAGUUGCCAUCAUUUAGUUGGGCACUCUGAAAGAACUGCCAGUGAUAAGCUGGAGGAAGGUGGGGAUGACGUCAAGUCCUCAUGGCCCUUACGUGUUGGGCUACACACGUGCUACAAUGGACAAUACAAAGGGCAGCUAAACCGCGAGGUCAAGCAAAUCCCAUAAAGUUGUUCUCAGUUCGGAUUGUAGUCUGCAACUCGACUACAUG
rnacentral:rRNA from 1 species